UGGGGAAUUUUGGACAAUGGGCGAAAGCCUGAUCCAGCAAUGCCGCGUGUGUGAAGAAGGCCUUCGGGUUGUAAAGCACUUUUGUCCGGAAAGAAAUCCUUGGCUCUAAUACAGUCGGGGGAUGACGGUACCGGAAGAAUAAGCACCGGCUAACUACGUGCCAGCAGCCGCGGUAAUACGUAGGGUGCAAGCGUUAAUCGGAAUUACUGGGCGUAAAGCGUGCGCAGGCGGUUUGCUAAGACCGAUGUGAAAUCCCCGGGCUCAACCUGGGAACUGCAUUGGUGACUGGCAGGCUAGAGUAUGGCAGAGGGGGGUAGAAUUCCACGUGUAGCAGUGAAAUGCGUAGAGAUGUGGAGGAAUACCGAUGGCGAAGGCAGCCCCCUGGGCCAAUACUGACGCUCAUGCACGAAAAGCGUGGGGAGCAAACAGGAUUAGAUACCCUGGUAGUCCACGCCCUAAAACGAUGUCAACUAGUUGUUGGGGAUUCAUUUCCUUAGUAACGUAGCUAACGCGUGAAGUUGACCGCCUGGGGAGUACGGUCGCAAGAUUAAAACUCAAAGGAAUUG
rnacentral:rRNA from 1 species